AUGGCUCUAAGAAGGACACUGGUGUCAACGGCUGAGCCCUUUGAUAAGGGGGAAGUUUGGAAGACUCUUAUGUCCUGGAUUGGGAAAUG
ensembl:miRNA